rnacentral:rRNA from 1 species
AUUGAACGCUGGCGGCAUGCUUUACACAUGCAAGUCGAGCGGCAGCACGGGGGCAACCCUGGUGGCGAGCGGCGAACGGGUGAGUAAUACAUCGGAACAUGCCCAGUCGUGGGGGAUAACACUUCGAAAGAAGUGCUAAUACCGCAUACGUCCUGAGGGAGAAAGCGGGGGAGCUUCUGCCCCUGCGCGAUUGGAGUGGCCGAUGUCAGAUUAGCUAGUUGGUGGGGUAAAGGCCUACCAAGGCAACGAUCUGUAGCUGGUCUGAGAGGAUGAUCAGCCACACUGGGACUGAGACACGGCCCAGACUCCUACGGGAGGCAGCAGUGGGGAAUUUUGGACAAUGGGGGCAACCCUGAUCCAGCCAUUCCGCGUGAGUGAAGAAGGCCUUCGGGUUGUAAAGCUCUUUCGGCAGGAACGAAACGGCGAGCUCUAACAUAGCUUGCUAAUGACGGUACCUGAAGAAGAAGCACCGGCUAACUACGUGCCAGCCGCCGCAGUAA